rnacentral:rRNA from 1 species
GAUGAACGCUGGCGGCGUGCUUAACACAUGCAAGUCGAACGAGAAGUGGAGACGGAAACCUUCGGGCGGAAGACUUUAUUUCGAGUGGCGGACGGGUGAGUAACGCGUGGGUAACCUGCCUCAUACAGGGGGAUAACAGUUGGAAACGACUGUUAAUACCGCAUAAGACCACAGCACCGCAUGGUGCGGGGGUAAAAACUCCGGUGGGAUGAGAUGGACCCGCGUUCGAUUAGCCAGUUGGCGGGGUAACGGCCCACCAAAGCGACGAUCGAUAGCCGAUCUGAGAGGAUGACCGGCCACAUUGGGACUGAGACACGGCCCAAACUCCUACGGGAGGCAGCAGUGGGGAAUAUUGCACAAUGGGGGAAACCCUGAUGCAGCGACGCCGCGUGAGUGAAGAAGUAUUUCGGUAUGUAAAGCUCUAUCAGCAGGGAAGAAAAUGACGGUACCUGAGUAAGAAGCCCCGGCUAACUACGUG